UCCCAAGGUCUCAUACUUGAUAUAAAAAGAGUGCCUGAUGUGAGAGGGCCAGCUACUCUGUGACUUGCCCUUUGACUUACAGGAUGAACACCCUCCAGGCUCUGGUUCUCUUGGCUUCAGGCCUCUCUGUUGUCAUUGGACUCCAGGCCACUCAACCAGUUUAGAAGGACAAUCCUGUGUGUGAUGCCUGAUAGCUGGCCUGUUUAAGACUACGCCGACUACGGCUGCUACUGUGGAAAGGGAGGCUCCGGCACACCUGUGGAUAACGUUGACAGGUGCUGCUAAGUGCAUGAUCAGUGUUUCAACGAUGCAAAGCAACACUCUGAGUGCUGGCCCAUCCUCGACAACCCGUACUCCGAGUUUUAUGACUACAGCUGCAACAAGGCAAACAAGAAAGUCACCUUUAGCA